GCGCUGGUGGUUCAGCUGGGUAGAGGGGCGGCUAUGGCUCAGUAGGUCUGGGGUUCGAACCCCAAGCGUGGCC